AGUGAACGCUGGGGCCGGCCCUAUUAAUGCCAGGCGGACGGGGGAUUAAUAAGUUGCCUAUUUAUUCUAAGUGGCGAACGGGUGGGUAUUAUAUAGCUAAUUGCCCCAUAACUAAGGAAAAACAGUUGAAACCAACUGCUAAUACCUAAAACUCCUAAUUAAUAUAAUUAGAAACGGAAAAGUUUUUGGGUAAUGGAUAGGGCUAUAUCGUAUCAGCUAGUUGGUAAGGUAAUGGCUUACCAAGGCUAUGACGCGUAACUGGUCUGAGAGGAUGAUCAGUCACACUGGAACUGAGACACGGUCCAGACUCCUACGGGAGGCAGCAGUAGGGAAUAUUGCUCAAUGGGGGAAACCCUGAAGCAGCAACGCCGCGUGGAGGAUGACACUUUUCGGAGCGUAAACUCCUUUUCUUGGGAAAGAAUUAUGACGAUACCCAAGGAAUAAGCACCGGCUAACUCCGUG
rnacentral:rRNA from 1 species